rnacentral:rRNA from 1 species
AGUGAACGCUGGCGGUAGGCCUAACACAUGCAAGUCGAACGGCAGCACAGUAAGAGCUUGCUCUUACGGGUGGCGAGUGGCGGACGGGUGAGGAAUACAUCGGAAUCUACUUUUUCGUGGGGGAUAACGUAGGGAAACUUACGCUAAUAGCGCAUAUGAACUACGGGUGAAAGCAGGGGAUCUUCGGACCUUGCGCGAUUGAAUGAGCCGAUGUCGGAUUAGCUAGUUGGGGGGGUAAAGGCCCACCAAGGCGACGAUACGUAGCUGGUCUGAGAGGAUGAUCAGCCACACUGGAACUGAGACACGGUCCAGACUCCUACGGGAGGCAGCAGUGGGGAAUAUUGGACAAUGGGCGCAAGCCUGAUCCAGCCAUACCGCGUGAGUGAAGAAGGCCUUCGGGUUGUAAAGCCCUUUUGUUGGGAAAGAAAAGCAGCAGGUUAAUACCCCGCUGUUCUGACGGUACCCAAAGAAUAAGCACCGGCUAACUUCGUG